CGCCUUUGUUUCAGAUUCAAAUAAGAUUUGACAUGAACUUCGCGUCAGGCAGAAGUUCUGUUAUGCUGAGUAUUUGAGUUACAGACAGUACAUAAUAGUAGUACUAAAAGUUAGUACAAAGAUCUGAAACAAAGGCGCUCAAACACCUAGGCCCCCUUUGAAACAGAGAAAAAUCGUUGAAGGACUGAAUUUCUGUAGUGGAAAUUUUCCCACGGUGAUGUUUGGAACAAAGAAUGUCUGGCCAAAAUUCCUAUGAAAUGUGGCAAUCCAUUCAAAUUUUGGAGGAAAACAACCAUGUGGCCUUGACCUCAUGUUUUCUUCCCCUUGUGUUUAAAAUUCAUGUGUUUUUUGGUGUGUGGUAUCCAAACGAGAGUUUGAGUAUUGCCUUGUUUUUAGAUUCCGGUAGGAAAUCAGGUUGCAUGACAUCCUUUUCUUUUUUACUUCCUACGUUCCAAACGGGAACUUACUAGGGGAACAAACAGAUGCCAGAUUAACACAGAACAAUUUGUCGAAUUUCCACCCAAACAGAUCUGCUAAUCCAUGAACGAUGCUCAACAUUGCAUGGUUGGAUUGUGGGCAAUGCAAGCCAAGCCCACACGGCGAUCGAUCUGGAGCAAGAACCGAUGCUGGCCAUCAAUGGACAGAGGAAACGUGCUUCAAAGUGGUCCGCAACGCUAACGAGAAAAUGUUAAAAGCAGAUCGAAGAUGCGUUUCUUUGUUUGUGUCCUGUUGUCAUUCACCAACAUUCCGUGCAGCGAAAACUUUUGUACGCAAGAGGUCAUCAGUUCAUAGCCCGAAGACCUGCCUUAAAUUAGCUCGUGGUUUUGAUGUGAUUUCGGCUCUAAUCCGAUGACCUCGGCGCUAAUCUGGUGACCUGAUUAACAUGCUGAGUGACCGGUCAAUGAAUCUGUUUCAUCAUCUCGAAAAAGAAGAAUGAAUUUGAUACGUCGCUCCAGCUCAGACAGGCAAAUGGUGAAGAAAAUACGCAACGUUGCACACUGCAGAAGAAAUGCUCAGAUAUAUAGCUAUGUCAUCAUGGCUUGGCACCUAUGCGCCUUUGUUUCAGAUUCAAAUAAGAUUUGACAUGAACUUCCAGUCAGGCAAAAGUUCUGUUAUGCUGAGUGUUUGAGCGCCUUUGUUUCAGAUUCAAAUAAGAUUUGACAUGAACUUCGCGUCAGGCAGAAGUUCUGUUAUGCUGAGUAUUUGAGUUACAGACAGUACAUAAUAGUAGUACUAAAAGUUAGUACAAAGAUCUGAACCUAUUGUGUGAUCACACCCUGUCCUAGAUAGAGUACCAAAAAUAAACUAAUGCAACAAUCAACUAGUAGCAUUUCUUUGCAGCGGGAAAAAAAUUCAUCACUAAUUCAUCGUGUCCAUUCGCUUGAGCAAUUCACUGAUAACCCGCUUAAAAUUAUGUACAGGUGUCCCGCUUUCAUCCUUCGCCAGGAACAAUCAGAGGAUGUACCUGAGUACCUCUGGCACGGUCAAAGACAUCGCUUAGGCCAGCACCCCAGCAACCUCCGUUUGCGGCUGGUGGCAACAGAGCACUCAUCAAUAAUGUGAGGAUUCUUGGACACUUAACCAAUUCCAAUUCCAAACGAAGACAACCAACAAUAUAU
rnacentral:lncRNA from 1 species